AAACCAGAUCUCGCUCUCAGACCUCUCCAACACUCUCUGCCGUCGCUCCUCACUGACCGCACCUCAGCCGUCGAUACCGCCUCUCUCACCACGCUCCCUCAGCCCCGAUCAAAUACCACCGCCGACACCAAGCUAAGGACUCAAGCGCCACUCUCAUCAACCACCCAUGACGCUUCUCUUCUUCUCGUUAGUUACCGGUGACCAGACCCAGCCGAAAACGACGCCUCCACGUACUGUCGACGACGCCUGCCACUGACGUCGCCACCACCACUGUGGUUCUCAGCCGCCGCCGGUUCCGCUGAAGGCACUACCUAUGAGUUGCUGAUGACUAGUGCUAUCAUAUGUGACUAGAGGAGAAUCAGAGACUGGCGGUGGAAUGCUCGUUGUUGCAGUGCAAGAGAUGGGAGAGAGAGUGCUCGUUGUACGACAGGGACCGAGAGGCAUUGAUGGUUCGACAAGUACGAUGCCCUGUAGCUGGUCUGGUCUUGUAAAUGUAGUAUUGUCACAGGAGGAGAUAUAUCAGAAGUACCUGGAUGAUACCAAGGCAAGAAAAACACAUUUUGCUUCUGCUGAUUCUGCAACUAAUGGUUCUUCUUGUUGUUGUUUCCCGUCCUCGCCAGUGCCAGGUACAAUCUCGUCAUCUUAGGAGACGAGUCUGUCGGCAAAAGCAGUAUCAUCACUCACUUUAUGAACAACAAGUUCCGUAACAAAUACGAGAUCUUUUGAGGAAUGUGAGGACUCAAGUAUUGCUCAAACUGAUCAAGCCUUACACAAGAAUUCGGAUCCCUUUCAUAUCCAAGGUCAAAGGGGAUGAAGAAAUACACUGACGUGGAUAAGUGGAACACACAGCUUAGGUCCCUCUAUCAGACUGUUCGUUUGUGGUGCGUAUUAAGGUUUGACGAGCUCUUGCACGAAUUAAGGGUUGGCUCUCCACUUGUGUGCCUGAUCUGGUCAGCCAUCACAUAUGAACUAUCUUCUUCCUCUUAUAUUCUCUUCUCUGUUCCCCUUUGUUUUGGGUUUCAAGUUACAGAGAAGUUAUAUUUAGCCCGAGGAGACUUGAGGCUGCUUUUCAUAUUAAAGAAGUCUUUAACAGUUGCACUGUUUAUAUUUGUCUGUUUAGUUUUCUGCAUUGUUUACGCCUUAUGGGUUCAUCUAGUCAUUUCGAUAUGUUUUCUCAUCUGAUGAGCAUGUUGUAAUGGAUUAUUUGAUUAACUAGAUAACGUGACUAAUUGAAGU